CAGCAGUAGCCGCGGUAAUACAGAGGGUGCAAGCGUUAAUCGGAAUUACUGGGCGUAAAGCGCGCGUAGGUGGUUUGUUAAGUUGGAUGUGAAAUCCCCGGGCUCAACCUGGGAACUGCAUCCAAAACUGGCAAGCUAGAGUAUGGUAGAGGGUGGUGGAAUUUCCUGUGUAGCGGUGAAAUGCGUAGAUAUAGGAAGGAACACCAGUGGCGAAGGCGACCACCUGGACUGAUACUGACACUGAGGUGCGAAAGCGUGGGGAGCAAACAGGAUUAGAUACCCCUGUAGUCCCUGUCUCUUAUAC
rnacentral:rRNA from 1 species